rnacentral:rRNA from 1 species
AUGGACGCGACGGCGGAAAUCCACAAUGUCGCCAGCAUGCGGCGCGACAGCGGGUCCAUAUGGCGGCGCGGGGACGACGUGUUCUCGCGAUCGUCCAGGGACGAGGACGACGAGGAGGCGCUGCGCUGGGCCGCGCUCGAGAAACUGCCCACCUACGACCGCGUCCGCCGUGCCAUCCUCCCGCCUCUCGACGGCGGCGAGGGCGCGGCCCCCGGAGCGGCGGCGGGGAAGGGGGUCGUGGACGUGCACGGCCUCGGGCCGCGCGAGCGCCGGGCUCUCCUCGAGCGCCUCGUGCGCGUCGCCGACGAGGACAACGAGCGCUUCCUGCUCAAGCUCAAGGACCGCCUCGAGCGGGUUGGGAUUGAAAUGCCGACGAUCGAGGUGCGGUUCGAGCGCCUGGUGGCGGAGGCGGAGGUCCGGGUCGGCAACAGCGGCCUCCCCACCGUCCUCAACUCCAUCACCAACACGCUCGAGGAAGCGGCCAACGCGCUGCGCAUACUCCCCAACAGGAAGCGGACCAUGCCCAUCCUCCACGACGUCAGUGGCAUCAUCAAGCCACGCAGGAUGACACUCCUGUUGGGCCCACCUGGGUCCGGCAAGACCACCUUGCUGCUCGCCUUGGCCGGGAGGCUCGACAAAGACCUCAAGGUCUCAGGCAAUGUUACCUACAACGGGCACGGGAUGGAGGAGUUUGUGCCGGAGAGGACGGCGGCGUACAUAAGCCAGCACGACCUCCACAUAGGGGAGAUGACCGUGAGGGAGACACUUGCCUUCUCCGCACGCUGCCAGGGUGUUGGCACUCGCUUUGAUAUGCUGACUGAGUUGUCGAGGCGAGAGAAGGCCGCAAAUAUCAAGCCAGAUGCUGAUAUUGAUGCAUUUAUGAAGGCGUCUUCAAUGGGAGGUCUGGAGGCCAAUGUGAACACAGACUAUAUACUGAAGAUAUUAGGACUAGAGAUGUGUGCAGACACGAUGGUUGGGGACGAGAUGCUGAGGGGCAUCUCUGGUGGACAACGGAAGCGUGUUACAACUGGUGAGAUGCUAGUUGGGCCGGCCAAGGCGCUCUUCAUGGACGAGAUCUCAACUGGGCUCGACAGCUCAACUACAUUCCAGAUUGUAAACUCACUCAGGCAAUCUGUGCACAUCCUUGGUGGCACAGCCGUCAUCUCCCUGCUGCAGCCGGCCCCUGAAACGUACAACUUAUUUGAUGACAUUAUCCUCCUCUCUGAUGGCCAAGUCGUGUACCAGGGCCCUCGUGAGGACGUGCUUGAAUUCUUUGAGUCUGUGGGGUUCAAGUGUCCUGAGAGGAAGGGCAUCGCUGACUUCUUGCAAGAGGUGACUUCGAAGAAAGAUCAAAAGCAAUACUGGGCGCAGGGUGAUGAGCCCUACAGGUUCGUGCCGGUUAAGGACUUUGUGCGUGCAUUCCAGUCAUUCCACACCGGGAGAGCUAUAAGAAAGGAGCUCGCAGUGCCAUUCGACAAGAGCAAGAGCCAUCCAGCAGCAUUGACAACUACGAGGUAUGGUGUGAGUGGCACGGAGCUGCUAAAGGCAAACAUUGACAGGGAGAUCCUCCUCAUGAAGAGGAACUCUUUCGUCUACAUGUUUAGAACCUUCCAGCUGAUCCUCAUGUCAUUUAUUGCAAUGACGCUCUUCUUCCGUACAAAGAUGAAGCGUGACUCGGUAACAAAUGGGGGCAUCUACAUGGGGGCACUCUUCUUUGGUGUGCUCAUGAUCAUGUUCAAUGGCUUCUCUGAGCUUGCACUCACCGUCUUUAAGCUACCUGUGUUCUUCAAGCAGAGAGAUCUCCUUUUCUACCCAGCAUGGGCCUACACAAUACCCUCAUGGAUCCUCAAGAUCCCAAUAACAUUUGUUGAGGUUGGCGGUUAUGUUUUCAUAACAUACUAUGUCAUGGGGUUCGACCCAAAUGUAGGCAGGUUCUUCAAGCAAUAUCUUCUUAUGUUAGCAAUCAAUCAGAUGGCGGCAUCACUCUUCCGAUUCAUUGGUGGAGCAGCAAGGAACAUGAUUGUUGCGAAUGUCUUUGCAUCAUUCAUGCUGCUCAUUUUUAUGGUAUUGGGCGGAUUCAUUCUAGUAAGAGAAAAAGUGAAGAAAUGGUGGAUUUGGGGCUACUGGAUCUCCCCACUAAUGUAUGCACAGAAUGCCAUCUCAGUGAAUGAGUUCUUCGGUCACAGCUGGGAUAAAAUAUUGAAUAGCACGGCCUCAAACGAGACCCUUGGAGUGCAAGUCCUGAAGUAUCGCGGAGUGUUUCCAGAAGCAAAGUGGUACUGGAUCGGUUUGGGUGCAAUGCUCGGGUACACCUUGUUGUUCAAUGCUCUCUUCACUCUUGCCCUUACAUAUCUGAAGGCAUACGGUAACUCCCGUUCGUCGGUAUCUGAAGACGAACUGAAGGAGAAGCAUGCCAACCUGAACGGUGAGGUUCUGGACAUUGAUCGCCUGGAAUCACCAAGCAAUGAUGGGCCGAUACGAAUGAACACUGGAAAUGACUCAGCAAUAGUCGAAGAGAAUUCUAGCCCCAUGCAAAGGGGAAUGGUGCUUCCAUUUCUCCCGCUUUCACUCACGUUUGACAACAUCAGAUACUCUGUUGACAUGCCACCGGAAAUGAAAGCACAAGGCGUAGUUGAAGACCGAUUGGAGCUCCUCAAAGGUGUUAGUGGAUCUUUCAGGCCAGGGGUACUGACUGCCCUGAUGGGUGUCAGUGGUGCUGGCAAGACUACUCUGAUGGAUGUGUUGGCAGGGAGAAAGACAGGUGGGUACAUUCAAGGAAACAUCAGCAUUUCAGGAUACCCGAAGAAACAAGAGACCUUUGCACGCGUAUCAGGAUACUGCGAACAGAAUGAUAUCCACUCUCCGCAGGUGACAGUCUAUGAGUCGCUGCUUUUCUCAGCGUGGCUCCGUCUUCCCGAGGAUGUUGAUUCAAACAAAAGAAGGAUGUUCAUCGAGGAGGUGAUGGAGCUUGUGGAGCUCAAGCCUCUGAAAGAUGCAUUGGUUGGUCUACCGGGAGUGAAUGGUCUGUCAACUGAACAGAGGAAGAGGCUGACCAUUGCUGUGGAGCUCGUUGCUAAUCCUUCUAUCAUUUUCAUGGAUGAGCCAACCUCCGGACUUGAUGCCCGAGCAGCCGCAAUCGUGAUGAGGACAGUGAGGAACACUGUUGAUACUGGUAGAACUGUGGUUUGCACGAUUCAUCAACCUAGCAUUGACAUAUUUGAAGCAUUUGAUGAGCUAUUCCUGAUGAAGCGAGGUGGAGAAGAGAUCUAUGCUGGUCCAUUGGGCCAUCAUUCUGCAGACUUAAUCAAUUACUACGAGGGCAUUCAUGGAGUCAGCAAAAUUAAAGAUGGCUACAAUCCAGCAACAUGGAUGUUGGAAGUGACAACGAUCGGUCAAGAACAGAUGCUAGCCAUUGAUUUCAGUGACAUAUACAAGAAAUCUGAACUCUACCAGAGAAACAAGGCAUUGAUAAAGGAACUAAGCCAACCCGCGCCGGGUUCAACUGAUCUGUAUUUCCCUACCCAGUACUCGCAGUCUUCGAUCACACAAUGCAUAGCUUGCCUGUGGAAGCAGAACCUGUCAUACUGGAGGAACCCUCCUUACAAUGCCGUUAGGUUCCUUUUCACUACUGUGAUUGCUCUCCUCUUCGGCACCAUCUUCUGGGACCUUGGUGGCAAAAUGAGCCAGUCACAAGACUUGUUCAACGCCAUGGGGUCAAUGUAUGCUGCAGUGCUGUUCAUCGGUAUUAUGAACUGUACUUCGGUUCAACCAGUGGUGGCUGUGGAGAGGACAGUCUUUUACCGUGAAAGAGCAGCCGGCAUGUACUCAGCAUUCCCGUACGCAUUUGGCCAGGUUGUCAUUGAACUCCCAUACACACUCGCUCAGGCUACCGUACACGGAGUCAUAGUUUACUCGAUGAUUGGGUUUGAGUGGACAGCUCCUAAAUUCUUCUGGUACCUCUUCUUCAUGUACUUCACGCUGCUCUACUUCACAUUCUACGGCAUGAUGGCUGUUGGCUUGACACCCAACUACCACAUCGCCUCAAUCGUCUCGUCAGCAUUCUACGCCAUCUGGAAUCUCUUCUCAGGUUUCAUCAUCCCCCGACCAAAAGUUCCAAUCUGGUGGAGAUGGUAUUGCUGGGUAUGCCCCGUAGCGUGGACACUGUACGGGCUGGUUGUCUCACAGUUCGGUGAUGUCACAACGCCGAUGGAGGACGGCACUCCCGUGAAAGACUUUAUAGAGGGCUACUUCGACUUCAAGCACAGCUGGUUAGGUUAUGUUGCUACGGUGGUCGUGGCGUUCGCGGUGCUGUUUGCCUUCUUGUUCAGUUUUGCCAUCAUGAAGCUCAACUUCCAGAAGAGGUAG